GUCCUUUCCCCCUAGUGUGAGUAAUGCUGUAGUAUUCCCAAGAAGAAAUCCAAGCGGUAAUAAAGCAGGUAUAGCUGUUCCCUACAAUCACGAGACAAGGCUCUGAGUUGAGGGUGAAGUGGAACUGUUUUAAUGAAAGCCAUAACUGAGCUUACAUGCAAGUCCCCAUGAAAGGGGUUUCGGAUUACAUAUUCCAGGGGCAUUCCCCAGUGGACCAGAG